UACGGGGGGGGCAAGCGUUGUUCGGAAUUACUGGGCGUAAAGGGCUCGUAGGUGGCCAACUAAGUCGGACGUGAAAUCCCUCGGCUUAACCGGGGAACUGCGUCCGAUACUGGUUGGCUUGAGUUCGGUAGGGGAGACUGGAAUUCCUGGUGUAGCGGUGAAAUGCGCAGAUAUCAGGAGGAACACCGGUGGCGAAGGCGGGUCUCUGGGCCGAUACUGACGCUGAGGAGCGAAAGCGUGGGGAGCGAACAGG
rnacentral:rRNA from 1 species